UAAGGUAUAACUCAAGUGGCAGAGCGCAUGCUUAGCAUGCAUGACGUCCUGGGUUCAAUCCUCAGUACCUCCA
rnacentral:tRNA from 1 species